rnacentral:rRNA from 1 species
GAUGAACGCUGGCGGCGUGCCUAAUACAUGCAAGUCGAGCGAACGGACGAGAAGCUUGCUUCUCUGAUGUUAGCGGCGGACGGGUGAGUAACACGUGGAUAACCUACCUAUAAGACUGGGAUAACUUCGGGAAACCGGAGCUAAUACCGGAUAAUAUUUUGAACCGCAUGGUUCAAAAAUGAAAGACGGUCUUGCUGUCACUUAUAGAUGGAUCCGAGCUGCAUUAGCUAGUUGGUAAGGUAACGGCUUACCAAGGCAACGAUGCAUAGCCGACCUGAGAGGGUGAUCGGCCACACUGGAACUGAGACACGGUCCAGACUCCUACGGGAGGCAGCAGUAGGGAAUCUUCCGCAAUGGGCGAAAGCCUGACGGAGCAACGCCGCGUGAGUGAUAAAGGUCUUCGGAUCGUAAAACUCUGUUAUUAGGGAAGAACAUAUGUGUAAGUAACUGUGCACAUCUUGACGGUACCUAAUCAGAAAGCCACGGCUAACUACGUG